CCUACGGGUGGCAGCAGUAGGGAAUAUUGCUCAAUGGGGGAAACCCUGAUGCAGCAACGCCGCGUGAGCGAUGAAGGUUUUCGGGUUGUAAACUCCUUUUGUUAGAGAAGAUAAUGACGGUAUCUGACUAAUAAGCCCCGGCUAACUCCGUGCCAGCAGCCGCGGUAAUACGGAGGGUGCCAGCGUUACUCGGAUUUACUGGGCGUAAAGAGCGCGUAGGCGGGAAAGCAAGUCAGAUGUGAAAUCCUAUGGCUUAACCAUAGAACUGCAUUUGAAACUGUUAUGCUAGAGUAUGGGAGAGGCAGGUGGAAUUCCUGGUGUAGGGGUAAAAGACAUAGAGAUCAAGAGGAACACCAAUGGCGAAGGCGACCUGCUAGAACAUGACUGACGCUGAUGCGCGAAAGCGUGGGGAGCAAACAGGAUUAGAUACCCUGGUAGUC
rnacentral:rRNA from 1 species